rnacentral:rRNA from 1 species
AAGGACUGCUCCUUGAUUUAGCGGCGGACGGGUGAGUAAUGCCUAGGAAUCUGCCUGGUAGUGGGGGAUAACGUUCCGAAAGGAAACGCUAAUACCGCAUACGUCCUACGGGAGAAAGCAGGGGACCUUCGGGCCUUGCGCUAUCAGAUGAGCCUAGGUCGGAUUAGCUAGUUGGUGAGGUAAUGGCUCACCAAGGCGACGAUCCGUAACUGGUCUGAGAGGAUGAUCAGUCACACUGGAACUGAGACACGGUCCAGACUCCUACGGGAGGCAGCAGUGGGGAAUAUUGGACAAUGGGCGAAAGCCUGAUCCAGCCAUGCCGCGUGUGUGAAGAAGGUCUUCGGAUUGUAAAGCACUUUAAGUUGGGGAGGAAGGGCA